UGAAAAAGAACCACCGCCUUCACUUGACGAUGACAAUGCUAAUGAUGGGUGCUCAAAGGCAGAAAACCGACUCAACAAUCGCCUAUUGUGCCGAAUAUUCUUAUGUGAAGACGAGUGUUGAACGGGUCAUCAGCGAAAUUUAUCGAUGAGCUCUUUUGUUGGCUACGUACGGAUACACACGGCCUGAAAUAGGUAUAAAUCCAUCAAACAACACUAAGAGGUAAACGGUCACUCAGAUAAUAAUUUUUAUCCGAAAUAAGCAGAAAGUAGUGACAAUAAAGCGAGUAGUAAAUUCAGUAAGUACCAAUUUUCUGAGUCAGUAAUUAUUCUUUUAGACGGUGCACACUGGUUUCAUUAUUAUUUAUAAAACUAAAAAGGAAAAUAAACAUUACAAGGUAAUUACCCCUGAAACAGCCAAGUAUCUAGAGAAAAUAUAACGCAAGAACUGUUGAAAACAAGACUCCAACCAAGAAGAAAUAGCAGUGGAACUGUAUGGGCGUACCGGAAUGCCGGUACAUUCCAAUAAAUUUCAUAAAUAGAAUAUCCGAACGAGUUGCUCGUGUGUUCCACGGAACUAAUAGACAUAAAUCCGGUACGUCGGACGGCCAGUGCUUAUCCUAUGCUAAUGCCUAAUGAAUAUUCUGGUUCAAUGCUGUGACCAUUUCAGAUAGCAGAUGAUCGGCGAUCUGGUGGACAAAAUAGUGUUAACCUGUUUUAUUCAGCAAGUUACAUAGUAAUGGUGAUACGGGGCAUUGUAACAGUUAUAUAGAAUAUGUGGUAUAUCCUGUUAUAACAUUUUUUCAAUAAAUUCAGUCUCGUUA